rnacentral:rRNA from 1 species
GGAGUCUGGGCCGUGUCUCAGUCCCAAUGUGGCCGUCCGCCCUCUCAGGCCGGCUACCGAUCGUCGCUUUGGUGGGCCGUUACCCCGCCAACUGGCUAAUCGGACGCGGAUCCAUCCCUUCCCGGAUCUCUCCUUUCCUCCACAGACCAUGCGAUCCAUGAAGCUUAUGCGGUAUUAGCAGCCGUUUCCGGCUGUUGUCCCCCAGAAUGGGGCAGGUUAUCCACGCGUUACUCACCCGUCCGCCACUAGGAUAAGGCAAGAUUGGCCGAAGCUUCUCAGCGCCUUAUCCCCGUUCGACUUGCAUGUGUUAGGCACGCCGCCAGCGUUCAUC